AUCAAGCUUUCCCAAUAAACUUGUGCAGAAGGGUCCUGUUGCAGCAUUGUUCUUGCUGGCAAGUAGGGCACGCGCAAGAAGUGGUGCCGAAACCUUGGAAAAGAAACAUCUUCAGGCAUGAGUGAAGACCCCCUGCUACAGGGAGGAUUCAGAACUGCAUCACGGGGAAGGAGCGGUUAAUAAGGUGUUCCUGUAAAACAGACUGCUGAGUGCACUCAGAAAUGAUGAACCGAAUGUAUGGGCAGUCUGUAACCUAACCAAGCUGACAUGAGAUCAUCACAAGAGCCCAUCUGUGAGAGAGCCCUAAGGGACCCUGGAGGAGAACACCAGCUAAUUGGAGGCUCUGUAUAAAGGAGUACAUUCUGUUUACAGCAAGAAGACCAUGAAGCCUCUCCUCCUGACAAGAUGAAGAAAGCGGGUGUUAUUUUGCAACUGAGGGUAAAGGGAAAACAAAACAAAAUGUUCAGCACAGUUUGGAAGAAAAUCAUCAACUGUACCUUCUGAACUGUAACACUGGUCAGGUUGAGCUUAACAAGCUUUAAAGUGCUUUUUAAAAUAAACCAAAUUAUUAAACUAUUGA
ensembl:antisense Gm20711 predicted gene 20711